UUCAGGUAACACUGAAUGGAGGACCGAACCGACUUACGUUGAAAAGUGAGCGGAUGAACUGAGGGUAGCGGAGAAAUUCCAAUCGAACCUGGAGAUAGCUGGUUCUCUCCGAAAUAGCUUUAGGGCUAGCCUCAAGUGAUGAUUAUUGGAGGUAGAGCACUGUUUGGACGAGGGGCCCCUCUCGGGUUACCGAAUUCAGACAAACUCCGAAUGCCAAUUAAUUUAACUUGGGAGUCAGAACAUGGGUGAUAAGGUCCGUGUUCGAAAGGGAAACAGCCCAGACCACCAGCUAAGGUCCCAAAAUAUAUGUUAAGUGGAAAAGGAUGUGGCGUUGCCCAGACAACUAGGAUGUUGGCUUAGAAGCAGCCAUCAUUUAAAGAGUGCGUAAUAGCUCACUAGUCGAGUGACACUGCGCCGAAAAUGUACCGGGGCUAAACAUAUUACCGAAGCUGUGGAUUGUCCUUUGGACAAUGGUAGGAGAGCGUUCUAAGGGCGUUGAAGCAUGAUCGUAAGGACAUGUGGAGCGCUUAGAAGUGAGAAUGCCGGUGUGAGUAGCGAAAGACGGGUGAGAAUCCCGUCCACCGAUUGACUAAGGUUUCCAGAGGAAGGCUCGUCCGCUCUGGGUUAGUCGGGUCCUAAGCUGAGGCCGACAGGCGUAGGCGAUGGAUAACAGGUUGAUAUUCCUGUACCACCUAUAAUCGUUUUAAUCGAUGGGGGGACGCAGUAGGAUAGGCGAAGCGUGCGAUUGGAUUGCACGUCUAAGCAGUAAGGCUGAGUAUUAGGCAAAUCCGGUACUCAUUAAGGCUGAGCUGUGAUGGGGAGAAGACAUUGUGUCUUCGAGUCGUUGAUUUCACACUGCCGAGAAAAGCCUCUAGAUAGAAAAUAGGUGCCCGUACCGCAAACCGACACAGGUAGUCAAGAUGAGAAUUCUAAGGUGAGCGAGCGAACUCUCGUUAAGGAACUCGGCAAAAUGACCCCGUAACUUCGGGAGAAGGGGUGCUCUUUAGGGUUAACGCCCAGAAGAGCCGCAGUGAAUAGGCCCAAGCGACUGUUUAUCAAAAACACAGGUCUCUGCUAAACCGUAAGGUGAUGUAUAGGGGCUGACGCCUGCCCGGUGCUGGAAGGUUAAGAGGAGUGGUUAGCUUCUGCGAAGCUACGAAUCGAAGCCCCAGUAAACGGCGGCCGUAACUAUAACGGUCCUAAGGUAGCGAAAUUCCUUGUCGGGUAAGUUCCGACCCGCACGAAAGGCGUAACGAUUUGGGCACUGUCUCAACGAGAGACUCGGUGAAAUCAUAGUACCUGUGAAGAUGCAGGUUACCCGCGACAGGACGGAAAGACCCCGUGGAGCUUUACUGUAGCCUGAUAUUGAAAUUCGGCACAGCUUGUACAGGAUAGGUAGGAGCCUUUGAAACGUGAGCGCUAGCUUACGUGGAGGCGCUGGUGGGAUACUACCCUAGCUGUGUUGGCUUUCUAACCCGCACCACUUAUCGUGGUGGGAGACAGUGUCAGGCGGGCAGUUUGACUGGGGCGGUCGCCUCCUAAAAGGUAACGGAGGCGCUCAAAGGUUCCCUCAGAAUGGUUGGAAAUCAUUCAUAGAGUGUAAAGGCAUAAGGGAGCUUGACUGCGAGACCUACAAGUCGAGCAGGGUCGAAAGACG
rnacentral:rRNA from 1 species